GAACGCGAAGAACCUUACCAGGCCUUGACAUCCUAGGAACCCUGAUGAAAGUCGGGGGUGCCCGCAAGGGAACCUAGAGACAGGUGCUGCAUGGCUGUCGUCAGCUCGUGUCGUGAGAUGUUGGGUUAAGUCCCGCAACGAGCGCAACCCUUGUCCUUAGUUGCUAACGGGUAAGCCGAGCUCUCUAGGGAGACUGCCCGCGAAAGCGGGAGGAAGGCGGGGACGACGUCUAGUCCGCAUGGCCCUUACGGCCUGGGCGACACACGUGCUACAAUGCCCGGCACAGAGCGCUGCCACAUCGCAAGAUGGAGCGAAUCGCCUAAAUCCGGGCUCAGUUCGGAUUGGGGUCUGCAACCCGACCCCAUGAAGCUGGAAUCGCUAGUAAUCGCGGAUCAGCCAUGCCGCGGUGAAUACGUUCCCGGGUCUUGUACACACC
rnacentral:rRNA from 1 species